rnacentral:rRNA from 1 species
UACAGAGGGUGCAAGCGUUAAUCGGAAUUACUGGGCGUAAAGCGUGCGUAGACGGUUAUGUAAGUCGGGUGUGAAAGCCCCGGGCUCAACCUGGGAAUUGCAUUCGAGACUGCAUAGCUAGGGUGCGGAAGAGGGAAGCGGAAUUUCCGGUGUAGCGGUGAAAUGCGUAGAUAUCGGAAGGAACACCAGUGGCGAAAGCGGCUUCCUGGUCCAGCACCGACGUCAGGCACGAAAGCGUGGGGAGCGAACAGG